GUGCCCGCUUCAGCAGCACAGAGACUAAAGUUGGAACAGCCUAGCGAAGAUCAGCCGGCACCUGUGGAAGGACGACGUGCACAUUUGUGAAGCGGUCCAUAUUUUU